UGGGGAAUCUUCCGCAAUGGGCGAAAGCCUGACGGAGCAACGCCGCGUGAGGGAAGAAGGCCUUCGGGUUGUAAACCUCUGUCUUCAAGGAAGAAGAGAUGACGGUACUUGGAGAGGAAGCCGCGGCUAACUACGUGCCAGCAGCCGCGGUAAAACGUAGGGGGCGAGCGUUGUCCGGAAUUACUGGGCGUCAAGGGCGCGGAGGUGGUUGAUUAAGUUAGAGGAGAAAGGCCGCAGCGCAACAGCGGG
rnacentral:rRNA from 1 species